GCGCUGGCUGUCGGAGCCAGGGGUUACUUGCAGAGGUAGUGCGAUGUAGAAUGCCCGAGGCUGGCAGCAUUCCUCCUGCUGAGAAUGAGGGGCAACACAGCACGAUCCAAACUGUGGAGGCUGCUGACCUGUUGUGUCAGGAGCAUCUCAAAAGAACCAGGUAUCAAGAAUCUGGGCAAUACAUGAGGGCCAGCAGUGGCUGAGGAACUUGCACAAGGUGAGAGGUACCAGAUGCUUGCCAAGCUCAGUCCGGCUGCAUAGCACACUGCUCAGAUUUUCCUGCUGCUUCCUUCUAAGGUGCUAAUGAAGUUGUGUGAAUCAUUUUAUUUUGGUCCAGUGGAAAACUUGUUCUCUUGCUCUUGUGUGUUUCCAGCAAAAUACUUUGUCUCAGAGUAAAUUUUUGGAAGCUCAUAGUCCCUCCAACCAACAUUAAAACCACGUAUAUCUGCUGGUCUUUAGAAACAAAGGCACAUUUUGUUACAAACUCCCUUUAUGUUAUAGGAUGUUUUUCUUUCUUGUGAUUGACAAGAUAGCCUAAAUCAAUAUCCUUUUAUUUCCAGACCUCUAUUAUUUUGAAGAAAUCCGCAUCUGUCUUCAUGACAGUGUAGUGGCAUCAGAGGACACUCUAAGCAAGAAGUAACCAAUCUCUUUGGAGCUUGCAAAGGAAGGUGCAUCCCACAGAGCUGAUGUUAUGUGCACUACUUGUAGACAGAUUACGUUACAUGAAUGAAUUUGAUAGGAGUCACCAUGGUGAGGAAAGGAUAAUGGAAUUUCAGAUCUUAAGUGUUGUUCAAUGGAAUUCACCCUAAAAGAUGGAGAACUGCUGGGACAUGAAGAACAUAAAGCUCUAAGACUGUAUGUUGGAGAAAAGUUCCCUCAGAAGCGUGUGUUUAGAUGCCUUUGGUGACACAUGCUGCCUUGCCUGCCAUCCCUGCAAGUGUGGCCUCACUUUCACUGUUAUUGCAACAUGUGUCAAGUGAAAUGAAAACAGAAAUUUGGGAAAGGAUAUAAUUAACCUACUUGUAAACAUUAACCUUAAAUAUCUACCUAAUUAUCUCACUAAUUUAAUCACUGCAGAUCUCAAACUUGUUUGUUAAAUAUUUAAUUCUGCAAAUUGUUUUUGAUACAGAGGUGUGGGGAGCUUUCUGUGAAUGUAAGUUACUCUGUAAAACUUUGCAAGAUCGUUGUUAUGUUUGCACUUCUUUGAACAAACCCUGCUGUCAACAAGACUUUUAAUGGAAAUCACAAGAAACUGUGCCCUGAGGCUAAGAGAUAUAGUGCCCUAUUAUUUUAAAAUCUAAUGAACACAUUGUGCAUAAUGUAGACCAGGGUAAAUUUCUUCCUGCAUAUCUUCAGGUUUGAUUCCGUGGGAGUCUAGAGUUGAAAGUUCUUGGUUUCCUUGUUUCUUUGGUUGCGGUGCAGCUGUACAGUUAUUUCUUACCUAUUCACCUCUUUAUUACUUGAGGGACUCAGCAAAAUGCUGUCCUUGAUCUUCAGCCCUUUUUAUCAAGUCACUACCUCAUGCUAAAAGUAAUCCAAAAGGUGUUUAGAUGCUGCAGUUACAAUGCCACUCAAAGUGGCUCUAAUUAUUCCUGAGAGGAAAGUUUUGAAUUGGGAGUGUUUGUUGAGAAAAUGAAAGCUCCGUGUUUGUUCCUUCCUCCCCGAUGGGAAGGGGGCUGUGCUCGCACUGCCUCCUGCAAACACACACGAGGCCCAGCUGAGCACUGCAAGGAGGGCCAUGGGGAUGCCUCCAGCUGCUGGGGCUGGGAGAGGAAACAGCCAGGCUGUGGGUGCUGAGGAAAAUCCCAGAUGGAGCAGACAGCUAAGCAAGGACAAGCUCUGGAGGCACCUGAAUCCUCUGUUCCAUGAGAAGGUAGGGGCUCUCAGCUGUGCGGUGCCUCCCCUCCCUCUAUCACUCCCCAGGGGCUUCAGCCAUCCAUCCCCACAUUUCAGGCUGUACCCACAUGGCAGUUCUGCAACGCUAUUUUCUUCAUUUUUGUUAUAUAAGUCUCCUUAAUUGAGGAAGAAGGUGGAAAAUUGGGACUGACAUUGUGUUUCUGUCCUGUAGUUCUUACUAUCAGAUGAAGAUGCAAAGCUAUACUAAGGCCAGGUGAUGGCUCACAGCAGACCUCUGACAGGAGCCAUGUGAUUAGUUAGAUGUCCAUAUAAAUACCUAUUUGCACUAUAUUACUACCUUAUUAUAUAUUAUUUGGAAUUUCAUCCUGAUUGUCUAUAUUUAUUACAUACAAUUCAUACAUUUAUUUAUUACUUACAAUUCAUAUAUUUAUUAUACACAAUUCAUACAUUUAUUACACACAAUUCAUUUAUUACAUGCACAAUUCAUACUGUUUAGUUCAAUAAGAAACAAAUUUCUGUGAAUUUGGCUGAAUAAAGCUGUGUUUGUUCUUGUUAGUUAUCCAAAGUCUCAUUCUUUCUAUGCAUUAUCUAAAUUUCUGGGCAUUUUUCCCCUUCAUUUACUCCAAAAAUUACUUCAAUACUAAUGAAAACUGAAAGACAGCCAAGACAGGGUGAACUUUUGGACAAUUUAUGCAAACAUGACAGAUGAGAAUAGAUUUACUAUAAACAUGCCAGGCACAAAAGACUUGACUGCUUUUUAAAUACAGUGAUACUGGAAGAGAUUUAUGGAUAUUUUCAACUGUUCAUUAAAGAGAAAGAUAUUUUGAAACUAUAGGCACUAUCCUUUUAUCCAUUUUUGCCUUCCAGGCUGAGUUGCAAACCUUUGAUGUUUUCUUCACCAAAAAAUAAAAGUAGUUAUGAAUUUAUUUCUC